ACCGGGCUUGGUAACGCUUGCCUAUAACUCAAGUGAGGGUAUUAAAGAUUGUUGGACAGUGACUCAACCCAGUCAGAUUGGUCCCACUGUUGCAUAAUCUGGCUUGCCUGUUCCAAGUUGUGAGUUGGACCAUGUGGCGGGCACUGCGUAAGGCUGGUUUCACAGAGCUGCGAAAACCCCUCGCUCAUGACAGUGGAAGGAUAACAGGCCGGGGCUCCAUGGGUCAAUAAUAUCUACCGGGUUGUCUCAAAUGAACAACCAUCUUU
rnacentral:SRP_RNA from 1 species